rnacentral:rRNA from 1 species
CGCAUCUGUGCAUGCAGCAUAUCAAUAAGCGGAGGAAAAGAAACUAACAAGGAUUCCCCUAGUAACGGCGAGUGAAGCGGGAAGAGUUCAAAUUUGAAAUCUUAAAGGGUUUCCCUUUACGAAUUGUAGUUUAAAGAAGUGUUUUCUGUUGAGGUUUUGGUAAAAGUUCUUUGGAAUAGGACAUCAUAGAGGGUGAGAAUCCCGUAUUUGACCUUUACUUUCAACUUUGUGAUACACUUUCAAAGAGUCGGAUUGUUUGGGAAUGCAGUCCAAAAUGGGUGGUAAAUUUCAUCUAAAGCUAAAUAUUGGCGAGAGACCGAUAGCGAACAAGUACCGUGAGGGAAAGAUGAAAAGAACUUUGAAAAGAGAGUUAAACAGUACGUGAAAUUGUCAAAAGGGAAGCGUUUGACACCAGUGUUGUUUUUCUGAAAAUCAAUUAAAGAACUGUUUAUGCUAAGUUGUUUAGACUUUAUCAGCUAUCUGUUUAGUUUUGAGCUUUUCUUUAAUGCACUUUUCAGUUAACAAGUCAACAUCAAUUUCUUUUGCUGUAAAAAAGCUUGAGGAAGGUGGCUUGAGAUUCGUCUUAAGUGUUUAUAGCCUCUUGCCUAUGCAGUCGGAGAGAUUGAGGUCUGCAGCGUAGAUCCUUCGGGGCUAAAUGCAUUUGUGCUAAGUUAUAGCAUUUUAUAGACAACUUGUUGACUAUGAUUUGUCUUGUAGCUUACUCGCUUAUGUUAUUUUACCUACGCUUAGGAUGUUGAACUCUAUCACACACAG